rnacentral:rRNA from 1 species
GCAAGUCGAACGCGAAAGUGGAGCUUGCUCCGCGAGUAGAGUGGCGAAAGGGCCCCUAAUACGUUUCUAACGUACCCCAGAGUCAGGGAUAGCCCAGGGAAACCUGGAUUAACACCUGAUGACCCCCGCAGGUCGUAUGGCCCGCGGGGCAAAGGCUUGCUGCUCUGGGAUCGGGGAACGUCCUAUCAGGUUGUUGGUGAGGUAACGGCUCACCAAGCCUAAGACGGGUAGCGGGUGUGAGAGCAUGACCCGCCGCAUCGGGACUGAGACACUGCCCGGACUCCUACGGGAGGCUGCAGUAACGAAUAUUCCGCAAUGGGCGAAAGCCUGACGGAGCAAUGCCGCGUGCGGGACCAAGCCCUUCGGGGUGUAAACCGCUGUCAGGAGCUACCAAGUUCUGAGGAGCUCCAGAGGAAGGACCGGCUAACUUCGUGCCAGCAGCCGCGGUAAUACGAAGGGUCCAAGCGUUAAUCGGAAUCACUGGGCUUAAAGGGUGUGUAGGCGGACGUGCAAGUGCUUUGUGAAAUCCCACGGCUCAACCGUGGAACUGCUCGGCAUACUGCUCGUCUUGAGGUCGGUAGGGGUUGCCGGAACGCUAGGUGGAGCGGUGAAAUGCGUAGAUAUCUAGCGGAACGCCAAAGGUGAAGACAGGCAACUGGGCCGAUUCUGACGCUGAGACACGAAAGCGUGGGUAGCGAACGGGAUUAGAUACCCCGGUAGUCCACGCCCUAAACGAUGUGUACUAGAUCGUGAAGACUCUGACGUCGGCACGGUCGAAGCAAAAGUUUUAAGCACACCGCCUGGGGAGUACGGUCGCAAGGCUAAAACUCAAAGGAAUUGACGGGAGCUCACACAAGCGGUGGAGCAUGUGGCUUAAUUCGAAAGCA